rnacentral:rRNA from 1 species
UACGGAGGAUCCAAGCGUUAUCCGGAUUCAUUGGGUUUAAAGGGUGCGUAGGCGGAAUGAUAAGUCAGUGGUGAAAUCCUGCAGCUUAACUGCAGAACUGCCAUUGAUACUGUCAAUCUUGAGUACAUUUGAUGUGGGCGGAAUGUGUCAUGUAGCGGUGAAAUGCUUAGAUAUGACACAGAACACCGAUUGCGAAGGCAGCUCACAAAACUGCAACUGACGCUGAGGCACGAAAGCGUGGGUAUCAAACAGG